rnacentral:rRNA from 1 species
GUAGGGGGCUAGCGUUAUCCGGAAUUAUUGGGCGUAAAGGGUGCGUAGGCGGUCCUACAAGUCAGAGGUGAAAGGCUACGGCUCAACCGUAGUAAGCCUUUGAAACUGUAGGACUUGAGUGCAGGAGAGGAGAGUGGAAUUCCCAGUGUAGCGGUGAAAUGCGUAGAUAUUGGGAGGAACACCAGUUGCGAAGGCGGCUCUCUGGACUGUAACUGACGCUGAGGCACGAAAGCGUGGGGAGCGAACAGGAUUAGAUACCCUGGUAGUCCACGCCGUAAACGAUGAGUACUAGGUGUCGGGGGUUACCCCCCCCCUCGGUGCCGCAGCUAACGCAUUAAGUACUCCGCCUGGGAAGUACGCUCGCAAGAGUG